rnacentral:rRNA from 1 species
CCUACGGGGGGCAGCAGUGAGGAAUAUUGGUCAAUGGGCGCGAGCCUGAACCAGCCAAGUAGCGUGAAGGAUGACUGCCCUACGGGUUGUAAACUUCUUUUAUAAAGGAAUAAAGUGAGGCACGUGUGCCUUUUUGUAUGUACUUUAUGAAUGAGGAUCGGCUAACUCCGUGCCAGCAGCCGCGGUAAUACGGAGGAUCCGAGCGUUAUCCGGAUUUAUUGGGUUUAAAGGGAGCGUAGAUGGGUUGUUAAGUCAGUUGUGAAAGUUUGCGGCUCAACCGUAAAAUUGCAAUUGAAACUGGUUGACUUGAGUAUAUUUGAGGUAGGCGGAAUGCGUGGUGUAGCGGUGAAAUGCAUAGAUAUCACGAAGAACUCCGAUUGCGAAGGCAGCUUACUAAACUGCCACUGACAUUGAUGCUCGAAAGUGUGGGUAUCAAACAGGAUUAGAUACCCGAGUAGUC